AACAAACGCUGGCGGCGUGCCUAAUACAUGCAAGUCGAACGGGGAAAGCUUUCGGGUGAGUACUAGUGGCGCACGGGUGAGUAACGCGUGGAUAAUCUGCCUUGAAGAGGGGGAUAACCAGUCGAAAGAUUGGCUAAUACCGCAUAAGACCACAGGAACUGAGGUUCUAGAGGUCAAAGGUUUUUCGCUCCAAGAUGAGUCCGCGUAAGAUUAGCUAGUUGGUGAGGUAACGGCUCACCAAGGCGACGAUCUUUAACUGGUCUGAGAGGAUGAUCAGUCACACUGGAACUGGGACACGGUCCAGACUCCUACGGGAGGCAGCAGUAGGGAAUAUUGCACAAUGGAGGAAACUCUGAUGCAGCGACGCCGCGUGAGUGAUGAAGGCCUUCGGGUCGUAAAGCUCUGUCGCAGGGGAAUAACACAAUGAAGGUACCCUGUAAGAAAGGAUCGGCUAACUUCGUGCCAGCCGCCGCAGUAACAC
rnacentral:rRNA from 1 species